AUAAAACACAAACACAUGAGGUGAAGAUCUCCCUCAAAAGGCCAGCUGACCCACUGGGCACAGGCAGGUGCUAGGCCUAUCCGAGGCCUCCGUACACCCGGGCCAGAGAGGACAAGACCAGAAGAGGGCCACACAGAGGCCUGGAGCAGCCCAGUAGCACAGUCUCGGCAGGAGGGCAACUUAAGCAGCCUCACAUGUCCAGCAGACGCAUCUUCCUGCCUCAGGGGAGACAGGCAGGCCAGUGAGAGAAUGAGGAAGGUCUGAGCUGGGGCCAACGUGCAGCUUUCCCAGAUCUGACAACAGAAUGGGGAACCCCUGCCACUGAAGUAGCCAAGCACUGUGCUUGCGGGGAACGACCAGUGUUGAAGACAGGGAGAAGCAAGCAGCCAUCUGGACUUGACCCUGAAGGCCAGACAGCUCCCAGCCCUCCAGGCCCAGGCAGGCCUUGGCUGCUGCUACACACUCAUGGGGCCAGAGAACAUGCUCUCCUUCCAAAGGCAGAGAAGCCCACAGGCCUGUGCACUUGGGGGCCAGUCUCAGAGAGCCAACUCCACAGCCACACAUGCUGUGACCACAGUCUGAGGGCUGGAGGUGGGGAUGGGGCGGGGGGAGCAGAAAGCAGCCAGUAAAGACUCUUUCCCCAAGUGUCACGCCCUUGCAUGGUGUCCUCAGGGCAACCUGUUCCUUCUGGAAGCCCUUCUGGGACUCAGGAUCCCACCUGGCUCUGCUACCAUUAGGUCCUGUUACUUCUGUGCAGGCAGGUAGAGAAGGUCCCGCCCAGGGCCAGCCUGCAGCAGGAUCGAGGAGGGGUGCCUGGUUCAUCUCUCCAUCAGGGGGACGUGCAACCCAGACGCUCAGAUCUGUGCCCGUCACUGUAAGCGAUAGCCACCCUAACCAAACAAACUGGUUUCAUUUUGACAAGCUGACCUAUUCCCUGUAGCUGCUGCCCGUAUUAGCCUUUUUAGGUUACUGCAGAUGAUGGGAAUAUGCUUCCCCCUGGAAACUGGAAUUGCAUGGGUCUGUCUGCCUGGCAGGAUGUCCCACUGGUCACUAUUCAACCUUACGUGGGUGACACUGGAAAAACUGUGCAGAGAAGCUGGUAUUGCCCUAAAAUGCGACAAGGCUGACCAGCAGCAGAUAAAAAUAUAGGACCCUGGGCACUUAGGGACAGGGUGUGCCAAGGCCACCAUUCCUACGGUCUUGUGCCAGAUGUGAGGGAGAAGUCCCGCCUGGCCUGCAGCUGCAGUAGGGAGAAGAGGGGUGGGAGGCCACGGGACAGAGCAGCACGCAGGUGCUCGGGAGCCAAGUCCUGGCAGGGAGUCUCAUGGGGCUGGGCUUGCGUGAUAACCCAGGAGCUGCUGGCCCAGAGAAGAUGAGCGUCUGCCAGAGGCUUAAGGCAAGAGGGGGUGACAGGGACUGGAGUGAGCGUGGUUGCUGCUCAGGGUCCUCUGCUCCCGCCCCUCUGCCUGUCCCCUGGUAUGGGAGAACGUGAGGAUCACAGAGCGGCCCUGCAGCCCUCUGGGGAGAAAGCAGCAUGUUCCAAAGGCGUUGACAGCGGCAGAGACCCAGCUGCAGGGUCAGGAAGCCCCGUCUUAGUCCCUUCACUUUCCGCAUGGGGGUCAGGCCAGCAGGGCCACACUCCCACCCUGUGCUGUCCUCAGGGCCAGCCUGUGGCUGGUACUAAGAAUGCAGAGAGCCUGGACUCUCCAUCCUGCAGCAAGUCUUUCCAGAGAAUUCAGCCUCACUCCUUCUACACCCUGCGGCUGGGCUCAGCUAUUCUUACCUGCACAGUUCCCCUUCUCUCUGGGCCAUGGCAGAGCCACUCGGCCCUCAUGACCCCUGUAAAUGGACACCAAGAGAGGCCACAGCCCCAGGAGAGAUGGCCCCAGCCAAGAUCCCCUGGGCCAAAACCCCAGGUAGCCCCGGGGUCCGACUUUGUCUCUCCUGUGGAAGGUAGUGGAUGGUCACGUCCGGAAGCCUCUGGAUCAGCUGGCAGCUCAGUCUCUGCCCGCCACCAUUCUGUCCCUCACCCACGGUAGCCACCCCGCAGCUAGCCCCUUGCCCCUGCAUCCAGUAGGAACUGCAGCCGCGAAGAGGGGAGAAGCCCACCCAGUCCUGCUUCCACAGCUGGCAGGGCAGCUCUAGGAUGACAGCCGGAAGCUGCCCUCUGCCUCCACACUCGCCACUCCCCUACUUAGGACAAGGAGGUUCCUCGGAUCUCUACUUGCCUCCUAUCAGCCAGCGGCCCCAUGGGAUGGGGGGGUCCCAAUGACCCCUUUAGAAGGAGCACAGAGAGGGUGAGCGCUGAAGAAAAGGGAAGCACCAGAGAAUAACUAAGCAUUUGUGCAAGAGCUGUGCGGGAUUUCAGCAAUUCUCCCUCACGCUUCCUUCUGGCCUUAACACAAAGGGUGUCCAAUGCUCCUUCCAGGAGAGGAUGCUCCUCUCCAAGCUGCACUGAUGGCCUUGCCUUUUCUCUGGAGAUGUUUGCCAUACUUUGCUGAACUGAGAGCACUCGCUCUUCCUUCUCCUCCAUGGCUAUGUCAGGCAGCUCGGCUCUGUGAUGCCAUUACCAACGUGCUCCCAGCACCAACAGGAGACAAGUUCCACCACGCUACGGCGACAGAGGCCUCUUCCCCGGAAAUGGUUAGAACUGAGUCACCAAGGAUGGGUGUGAGCAUCAUGCCGAGAGGUCCCCAGUGUAUAGAACUACAGUGCCUGGCCCGUGUGAGCACGCUGGUGCUGCACAGACACCGGGCUCCUGCUGUGGGCCUGACAGGAGACAGAUGCACAGACCCCGCCACAUUCUGCAGGCGGCGGCGCAGCACAUGUGGGCGAGAGGCGGCAGCUGCCAAGGAUGACAGCUCCCCAGCUCUGACCAGCCAAGAAGCAUGCGGCUCCCUGCAGCUCAGCCACUUGUGGUGACAGUGAUUGACACAUAAGAGCAUCCUCCCUCUGACCACCCAGGGCCUGUGGCGGUGUUCCAGAUCCACCCGCCUCGCUGGUCCCGUUACGGGGCCCAGCAAUGUGGAUACCAGCACCCAGCGGAGGAGUGUGCAGGCCUGGCAGAGUCAUCUCCCAGACAGAUCCAGCUUGACUGGGUCCGAACAGGAGGCAGCAGGUCCUUCCACAGCCAAGACACACAGACUGUGACCUGCAAAGCUCGGUUGACGUUUAACCAAAUAGGGACAUCAACCUUUGUUCCUCUGAUGUAGCUUUCCUGCUUUGAAAUAAAGCACUUUUCAUUAUUUUCACCUUAAA